rnacentral:rRNA from 1 species
AGUCGAGCGGACAGAUGGGAGCUUGCUCCCUGAUGUUAGCGGCGGACGGGUGAGUAACACGUGGGUAACCUGCCUGUAAGACUGGGAUAACUCCGGGAAACCGGGGCUAAUACCGGAUGGUUGUUUGAACCGCAUGGUUCAAACAUAAAAGGUGGCUUCGGCUACCACUUACAGAUGGACCCGCGGCGCAUUAGCUAGUUGGUGAGGUAACGGCUCACCAAGGCAACGAUGCGUAGCCGACCUGAGAGGGUGAUCGGCCACACUGGGACUGAGACACGGCCCAGACUCCUACGGGAGGCAGCAGUAGGGAAUCUUCCGCAAUGGACGAAAGUCUGACGGAGCAACGCCGCGUGAGUGAUGAAGGUUUUCGGAUCGUAAAGCUCUGUUGUUAGGGAAGAACAAGUACCGUUCGAAUAGGGCGGUACCUUGACGGUACCUAACCAGAAAGCCACGGCUAACUACGUGCCAGCAGCCGCGGUAAUACGUAGGUGGCAAGCGUUGUCCGGAAUUAUUGGGCGUAAAGGGCUCGCAGGCGGUUUCUUAAGUCUGAUGUGAAAGCCCCCGGCUCAACCGGGGAGGGUCAUUGGAAACUGGGGAACUUGAGUGCAGAAGAGGAGAGUGGAAUUCCACGUGUAGCGGUGAAAUGCGUAGAG